CUACGGGGUGCAGCAGUGGGGAAUUUUGCGCAAUGGGGGAAACCCUGACGCAGCAACGCCGCGUGAGUGAAGAAGGCCCUUGGGUCGUAAAGCUCUGUCAAUGGGGAAGAAGUUAUUAUGUGUUAAUAGCACAUUUUAUUGACGGUACCCAUGAAGGAAGCACCGGCUAACUCCGUGCCAGCAGCCGCGGUAAUACGGGGGGUGCAAGCGUUAUUCGGAAUUAUUGGGCGUAAAGGGCACGCAGGCGGUCCUGUCAGUCAGAUGUGAAAGCCCGGGGCUCAACCCCGGACGUGCAUUUGAAACAGCAGGACUUGAGUACGGGAGAGGAAAGGGGAAUUCCUGGUGUAGAGGUGAAAUUCGUAGAUAUCAGGAGGAACACCGGUGGCGAAGGCGCCUUUCUGGACCGAUACUGACGCUGAGGUGCGAAGGCGUGGGUAGCGAACGGGAUUAGAUACCCCGGUAGUC
rnacentral:rRNA from 1 species